CUCAACCUGGGAAUGGCAUUUUGAACUGGCAGGCUCGAGUUUUGAAGAGGGUGGUAGAAUUUCCUGUGUAGCGGUGAAAUGCGUAGAUAUAGGAAGGAAUACCAGUGGCGAAGGCGGCCACCUGGUCAAAAACUGACGCUGAGGUACGAAAGCGUGGGGAGCAAACAGGAUUAGAUACCCUGGUAGUCCACGCCGUAAACGAUGUCGACUAGUUGUUCGUUUCAUAAACGAAGUGAGUAACGCAGCUAACGCACUAAGUUGACCGCCUGGGGAGUACGGCCGCAAGGUUAAAACUCAAAUGAAUUGACGGGGGCCCGCACAAGCGGUGGAGCAUGUGGUUUAAUUCGAUGCAACGCGAAGAACCUUACCAUCCCUUGACAUCCAGUGAAUCCUUCAGAGACGAGGGAGUGCCUUCGGGAACAC
rnacentral:rRNA from 1 species